AGCUUUCAGAGUCACACCUGGAGAAUUUCCAGUACUCUACUAGUCUUGGCUACAGGAAGGAGAGUCAAGCAGAGGCCUACCCAUUCCAUUCCUAGUUUGGGCAGUGGCUAGCCAGUGGAAGGCAAUCUGCUACAAGU